rnacentral:lncRNA from 1 species
AUAGCACAUUAGCCUUUGCUGGUGAGGCAUGAGAAGACUCAAGUUCUGACCACUGGGAUGGGCAAUUCCCCACUGGCUCAUUUGUAAGCUGGUUGCUGUUUUCUGAAUUCCAGCUGAUGGAAAAUAGGAAAGCAAGUCCAAGAUUGACUCUCCCUAGCAACAAGAGGUAAGGCACUAACAAAAUUGCUAUGUAACUCCCAAUCUCCUUUAACUCUUUCACCUAACAUAUAAAGUGUAAGCUUCAUAGUAUGACAUACAACAUAUAGUACAAUCUCACCCUAAUUAUAUUUCUAGCCUUUUUCUCAUUACUUCCUUCUGACUCUAUGAUUCAAUAUCUAUGAUAGCAGUAUGAUAUUGCUGCUAUCAACCAUAAUAAAGAAGGUAUUCAAGGUUGAAAGUAUACCUAGUACCAGAUAUGUAGAGACACAGACUAGGAAGCUGUGAAUAUAUCCACUGGAGGAGAAUAAUAAGGUAUAGCAUCUCUCUAGAUAGUUUCCAUUGUUGAGACUUUAGAGACAGGUAAAUAUUUGAGGAUAGAGCUCUUCCUAUUAAGAGAUUAAAUGGGAAUAAAAGAGAGCCAGGUCCACUUGUCAGUUCCUUGGCUUUAGCAAGUGCCAAUAAAAAAAUAAAAGUUCAUUAUCUUAUCAACAUUUUUGUAAUUUUUCAAAAUAACUUACAAAUUUUUUUUUUUUUGCAAGUAUUUACAUUCAUCCUCCCUGGGAUUCCAGCCAGGUAAUAAGGAUUCUUGUUCCCACCUUUGAAAUUGUCAGGCUAGCCACGCUUGGUGAUUUGUAAUUAAUCUCAAGAAAAUGGUGAAAAUUCUUUAGGCAAGAAGCAAUCAUUAUUUGAGUCACCCAAGCCUUAUUGUUGCAAUCUUACAUUUCUAUUUCCCUCUAAUUCUCCUGAUGCUUAAGUUUCAUUGAAUCAUUUAAGUCCUGACUGAAUAUCUUGUUUCACCAGUUAACUUAUUGUGUUCUUCAGUGUGUUCUCUGACCUCAAUCACUGUUGGCUGUUCCCUUUAACUUACACACACCCUAACCAUUGCUGUUUUCUCUUUAUUCUACAUCUAUUAUUGCUGUAUCUUAAUUUUAUAAUGAAGGUGCAUCCUUGGGUUCCAGGAACACAGUAGACUCACCUAAUACAGCCUUUCCCAAUGCUAUAAUCAUAUAGAAAUGCUAGAGAGAAUAAGACAAAUAAUACUAUGAGCAUUUAAAAAAGAAAAUGGAACUGUAUCAAUAAACAGAAAUGGAAAGAGAACUCAGAAACAAAUGAUCAGAAAAAUACAUACACACAUGCGCAUGUACCUUAUAUACUCUAUGGAGAGAUGGGGCUUUGGGAUCCUCACAUAUUGAGGUGUGGAAAUUGAUACCUUUGUCAUCUACCUCUGACAUGACAAUCCACUCUGGAAAGCUAAGAAAAACAUCAUUUCAUACUGGCCCCAGGGAAAGAGCAGGGAAGCUUGUCUCUCUCACUGAUGUUCCAAGGGGUAUUACCAAGUGUCCUCUGAGGAAUAAAAAUGCCAGGCCUACACCACUUGCAAAUAUAGAUCUGAAUUCACUUGAACUGUGUGGCGCAGGCAUCCCCAAAGUGAAGUAAUGUUGAAACUACUGAGAAAGUAGUAGCAGCAAAAUGUGACAUCACUUACUUGUGUACACACACACAAAACCCAUAAAUGGAUUUUUAAUGUGAUGACACACAAUAAAAACAUCACUAAGCAUAUAAGGAAAUUGAAAUUCAUGAGAGUUACUAGAAAAAAA